GACGAACGCUGGCGGCGUGCCUAAUACAUGCAAGUAGACCUUUGUUGCGAACGGGUGAGUACCGCGUAGGUACCUGCCUUAUCGUGGGGGAUAACUAGUGGAAACGAUAGCUAAUACCGCAUACUUCGAGUUUGACCUGCGUUGUAUUAGCUAGUUGGUGAGGUAAAGGCUCACCAAGGGGACGAUACAUACCCGACCUCGGAGGGUGAGCGGCCAAACUGGGACUGAGGCACGGCCCAGACUCCUACGGGAGGGCGCAAUAGGGAAUCCUCGGCAAUGGACGGAAAGCUGAACGAGCAACGCCGCGUGAGUGAAGAAGGUUUUCCGAUCGUAAAGCUCUGUUGGUAGAGAAGCGGUAACUAACCAGAAAGGGACGGCUAACUACGUGCCAGCAGCCGCGGUAAUUC
rnacentral:rRNA from 1 species